UGUGGUCUCACCUACAGUCCCAGCAGUGGACACUGUCCACUGCACUUUCCCCUUUCCAAAACCAAGAUGUUUCCAGCCGGAGGCUCCCGAGAGCCGCCGGGCAGCAGCUGACAGGGGCUGCACACCGCUAACCGCCCCCCACCCCAGCUUUGUGGCCUCAACCCCAUCCUUCCCUAAAACUGACUGCAGUUCCAGGAGGGGUGGACCGAGUGUGUGCUGCACCUCCCCCACGGGUGAGCAUCCUGGGGGAACCCAGCGGAGAUUUCCUGGCAGGGAGAUGGAAAGAAAACGAUGGCGAGGUUAAAGGAGAAAAUAAGUUACAUUUACAGCUUCCAAAGUGGUUCUCACUCUCUGCUGAAGAUGGGCCACCGGCAGGGCUGAAAUGCACUCUCGGUCCCAGGUCGUACUUUGCAAGAAGAGGGAAUAUAACUAGCCUGGUUAUUUUAGGUUAAAAUAGCCAAGAGACAGACGCCUUCGCCUCAAAAAUAUUCUGAGACACAUACAAGUAGAAGGAAACAAGUCUCUUCAGUCACAAAAUGUCGUACAUCCCGCAUAUACUAGAUUCAAUUAAUUUAAUAAAAUAGAAUAUACAUAGA